CUAAUGGGAAAACGUUAGAAAAACUAAAGAGAAAAUCAUAUUUGCUUGCUCUAAUUGUGUAGUACCUUGUCUGUUCUGCUUUAAAAACAUUUUUUUUUUAAAUGACUUUUUAUUUUAUUUUUUACUUUUCAACAUGUUCUCUGUAUAGUAGGUUAUGGGUUUUGUAACUUUUACCACCUUGGCUUAGUGCUAGCAUGCUAGCUGACUGAUAUCUGGAAUCUAUUUUUGGGGAUUUCGGCCCGGUGAAGCGCCCACCUCCCCCUCACUUUGGCAGCUAACUCAGUCUGCACUCUUUUAAAAGUUUUACCAUCAGAUGGGGCCCCAAGCAUUAGUCUGCUACUGGGACACCAGCGACCGCUUUGAGUGCCCCCUCUGUAAGGAGUGCUUCCGCCGCCGACUCGAGUUAUGCAUCAACUGUGCUUUGAAGGACUUCACAGAGCACUGUCAAAGCCCGGCAGGCGGAGGAAGACGAUUAUCAAGAUAUAGGACUAUCAGUGGCACAGUGUUCCCCAGGGAGCCCGAUGCAGUUUCCUGCGAUUUCUGGACUGGGACGAAGCCUGGGGUCAUACUGCAAGACACACCUGGGGCCUCACCAGAGAGAGCCGUCCCUCCAGAUGCACAGGCUGACAGACACAGCAACCUUCACCACGCCCGCCUUAUGCAGGAAGCACGAGCGGCCCCUGGGCCUCUUCUGCAGGAACAACCAGGAACA